rnacentral:rRNA from 1 species
UGGGGAAUAUUGCGCAAUGGGCGAAAGCCUGACGCAGCGACGCCGCGUGAGGGAUGAAGGUUUUCGGAUCGUAAACCUCUGUCAGAAGGGAAGAAACCGCACUGUGCUAAUCAGCAGUGCCUUGACGGUACCUUCAAAGGAAGCACCGGCUAACUCCGUGCCAGCAGCUGCGGUAAUACGGAGGGUGCAAGCGUUAAUCGGAAUUACUGGGCGUAAAGCGCACGUAGGCUGCUUUGUAAGUCAGGGGUGAAAUCCCACGGCUCAACCGUGGAACUGCCUUUGAUACUGCUUAGCUUGAAUCCGGGAGAGGGUGGCGGAAUUCCAGGUGUAGGAGUGAAAUCCGUAGAUAUCUGGAGGAACAUCAGUGGCGAAGGCGGCCACCUGGACCGGUAUUGACGCUGAGGUGCGAAAGCGUGGGGAGCAAACAGG